UACGUAGGGUGCGAGCGUUGUCCGGAAUUAUUGGGCGUAAAGAGCUCGUAGGCGGUCUGUCGCGUCGAUCGUGAAAACUUGGGGCUUAACCCUGAGCUUGCGGUCGAUACGGGCAUGACUGGAGUUCGGCAGGGGAGACUGGAAUUCCUGGUGUAGCGGUGAGAUGCGCAGAUAUCAGGAGGAACACCGGUGGCGAAGGCGGGUCUCUGGGCCGAUACUGACGCUGAGGAGCGAAAGCGUGGGUAGCGAACAGG
rnacentral:rRNA from 1 species